GCUGCUGUAGCACAAAGGUAGUGCACCGCUUUCCUAAUUUGGAAGUCUCAGGCGGAGGCUGUGGGUUCGAGUCCCAUCAGCAGUU